rnacentral:siRNA from 1 species
UUGUAAACGAGGUGGUAA